rnacentral:miRNA from 1 species
UUUAUUCUGUUAUGUGUAUAUGUAUGUGUGCAUAUACAUGUACAUACACGCAUAUACACACAGACAUACAUACAUACACAUUUGCAUAUAUACUUAUACAUAGAAUGUA